CGCGUAGGCGGCUUGCCAAGUCACUUGUGAAAUCUCUGGGCUUAACCCAGAACGGCCAAGUGAAACUGGCAUGCUAGAGUGCAGAAGGGGCAAUCGGAAUUCUUGGUGUAGCGGUGAAAUGCGUAGAUAUCAAGAGGAACACCUGAGGUGAAGACGGGUUGCUGGGCUGACACUGACGCUGAGGCGCGAAAGCCAGGGAGCAAACG
rnacentral:rRNA from 1 species